UGGGUGUUACUGCCAUGCCUGGAACAGAAAACACUCAGAGGGAACCCUCUGUGUUGUGGACAAAAAGCAGGCAUACUCUCCAAUAAAAAUGUAUUCUCUGUCCUCCAAAAACUAGAAAAAGAAGGGAUUGUUUUUAAGGAAAACUUUAUGUGCCAGCUACCAAGGAUGCAGUCAUAAUUAAACAGGUCAUUUGGGGCACCUAUCAGUGCUUACACAGGCAGGUUCUUUAGAGUUUGGGACUUCCAGCCUUAGUGCUCACGGCAAAGCUUGAGGAAUUCAGGGUCUUAGUUUUCUUAUCUCUGUGGCCCCUGGCAAACAGUCACAUUGGCAGAGCAACUGCUAUACAAUGUCAUAGGACAAAGCUCCAUCCAUAGUUAAUGUUGGCAAGUUAUAAUUGAAUCCUAGGACUCAAAGAACUAGGGCUCCCUCUUACACACACACACACAGACACAGACACAGACACACACACACACACCUAAGACUACACGUGUGACAUUUAAACUUGCCACUUGGGGCAGACUGAAAGAAAAAUUAUGUGCUGUCAAAUAAAAUUUCCUCCCACCUGAAAGAACCCAUAGCAUUUAAAAUGCCUAAUAAAGGGAGUUUGAGAAUAACGGCGAUACAUAUAGCCAGCUAAAUCAUAAUCCAGGAGGCAUGACCAUGAGUCCUGUUUGUAUACCAUAGUCCAUAGUAACCAUGGGAUGGGCCAUGGGAUGGGCCAGACUUUUGGUGUAAUCACCCUGAAGCCCUAUGUAGUCUAGUCAUGACUCAGCAAACAGAAAGAAUUCUGACAGAAAACUUGAAGAGAAGUCAUGUUCCAUAGCUGUAGCGCGCAGAGAUAUAGCACGCGGAGAUGUAGCGUGCGCCAUGGCGCUGUCAUGUCGUGGGCACGGAGCCUGGGCACCUUUUGCUGUUCCACGUCAAACUUGACAGACAACUUGUGCGCAUGCGCGUGAGCUCCCCCCAGCGCGGGGGAGUCUUUCGAUCUGGCCAUCCAAUCUGGCCAAUCAUAAUCUGGCACGAUCACUCCAUUCUGGCCUGAGCCAUUGGGUUGAUGACACGUCAGGGCUUUGUCUGGCACCGUAUAUAUUCUUCUGCUUCACGGGGACGGGGUCUUUUGCCUCUCUACAACCUCAAGUGUAAGUGCUCCAAUAAAGUGUGUUCUGAGAAGAAUCCUGUUGCGGUCGUCUCUUCUGCUGGCGGGAGCGGAGUGCUGCACAUAGCCACUUCCUCUGAGGCAAACUUCCACUGUGGAGGCAGGCAGACAUAGGGUGUUCUGAAGCGAUGUGAAGUAUCUAUCAGAAUAAUGAUUUCCUGCCUAGAAAAGGAAGAGGCCAGCUGAGCUUCCUGGAAGAGUGGAGCCACCUGGAAAGGACCGUUUCCAGUCUGACCAGCUGCCUUCAGGUUGGGUAGGGAGCUCCAGGUCUCGAGCUUUGGUGAGCUGUCACCUGUUCUGGAGUGGACUUUGGUAACGAGGCUUUUCUGCUCCUGGAAGUAAUUUCUCACAUAUAUGCUCAUAAAUAAGACCAAGGAGACCCAUGACUCACCACAUUGGGCUUUGAUAGUAUCCUUACUUUGGACUUUCCGAGGUCCUCUAUCUGGGGUGAGCAGACAUUAGCUCAUAUCUCCCCAGGAAAAUGCCAUAUGAGGAGGCAGAGGGAAUGAAAACAGGAUUUGAGAAAUCCAGAGGUUUCAGAAGAGGCUCAAAUGUGAAAAUAUGAGAGUCAAGGCAAAAGACUAACCCAUCAGCAACACAGUGUAAGUACACUCUAUACUGAAUAUUCUUGGCAGCUUUUAUUUGCUGGUUUAAAUCUAGUCAGCAUCUGGGAAAAGCAGGUGCCCACCAUCUGGGUCCUGAUGGAGCUAUUUAUUUAUUUAUUAGAAACAGGCAAGAUUAUCAGGGAUAGCAAAACAGUAAAUUUAAAAGUAAACAUGAACAUUCUAAGAAAACCACAAUUGGCUGUAACCGGCAGUCGGGGGUGAAGGAAAUGGCUGUGACCCGUGGUGAGUACGCACUUAGCAAGGCUGCGCUGAAGAAGGGACUAAGCAGACCUACCAGAAGGGUCGGGACAGAAGAGAUAUUUGGUGAAGGUUUGAAGGUAACUUCUGCAUCAGGAAGGCUUCCCACAUAAAAUAAUUGCAUGCUCCUAUGGUUUGGAUUUAUAAUGUGCUCAAAAGUUCUGCCUGGUGAACAUUGGUCCAUCAUCAUUCCAAGGCUACUGGGAGGAGGCCAAGGGGGGAUUUUCAAGUUAUUGAAACUGCACUCUUAAGGAGGUCUGUGGGACCUAGACUUUCAUCUACUUUUCAUUUUGGGGCCACAAGGUGACCAGUUUUGCACCACCGUGUUGUACUGUUACAUAACCGAGACCCAAAGGCACCGUGUCUGCACCGUCACAGAAUGGAUGGACUCUUGACAAUUACUAGCCACGGAAACAGAGUGACUGCACCAUUUCUUGUCAAGUAGAACGUAGAAACAACUUCCGAAUUUCUAACAAGAGCCCAGGACAGCCUUCCUUGGGAGCACCUUGCUGAAACAAAUGAGCAAGUGGACACGAUCUGAUCUAUCUACCUUACCAUCUGACGGAGCAGGGAACUGGUCUGUUGAGUCAUGGAGCACACUGAGAGAAACUGUUAAGCUGAGCACAUAUUACUGAUACCAGCAUGAGGGCAUGCAGUGAUGAGCCUAACUGCUUCAUUCACAAAGAUGGACACAAGACCCCACUCUCGCUGAAUACCGGGCACGCUCUUCCAUCUGAGCUUAGCUCCUCCAUCUUCUACACUUCAAGCUUUCCCAUAAUGCCACCACCAUCAUACUGUUCUCAGUGCUUAGGUCUCCUGCAGGCAUGCAGGCUUCCCCACCAGCAUGGCAGGGGUGAUGGUGCUCACCUGCUCGGUGAGGUUUCACAGGUUUCCCAAAUAACUAAGAGAAGAAACUUUCACCACAGAGUUAAAAUAUUUAAUGACAAACUUUGAGUAGCUGUAAUUGCGAGCCAACAGAACAGCUGUUACUUGUCUCCGAAUGAAACGCAAAGGGGGCUCAAUGUCAGAGAGAAUUUCUGAGGAACCAAGAACACACGUUAACAGCAUCACAAUUCUGAAAGUUAGGGGUGAAACCUAUCUCAACUAGUUUCUUUUAUUUAGGGAACUCUGUAAAUGUUUCUACAGAAAUGCAUAACCUUUUUCUACUCACAAUAGGAUAAGACAGAUUUCACUAUAAUUUUAAGUCUAACAUGUAAGCUUACUUUUAUCGGACCUUAAAAAAGGUGAACUACUGAUCUUGUUACAUUUUACAAAUACAUUCUUUAAGAUGAAACAUCAACCUGAAUAACUGCAUAGCUCCUGUACAUAGAAAUCUGACCACUCCAGUGAAGAACUCGACGGCUGCACUCCAGGAGGAAGGGGAAACACUGGCCAGCUCCUUUUCUCUAUGCCUCGUCAGUGUGAUGUGCAAAGUCCUUCAGAGAAAGACUGCAUUUCUGAAAUUCACAGUGAAAUGCAGAAAUCUAAUAAGCACUGUGAAUCUUCCAGCAAGCUCAACCAAAUGGGUUGGGCCCAGAUGACAGGAGUCCCUUGAACAAAUUUCAGUGGGUUAGACUGCAUUAGUAUUUGCUAUUGCAGCACCUUCUACGAAAGGGUAGCGAGAAUUUCACAUGUGCUGUCGGGGGCUUCUCUGCGUGAGGCUGGAUGGCUGACAGUUAAAGAGGGGCAGCAACAGCUGUUACAGACCCGACUCUGGUGGAGGACAAGCAGGUGAAGACCAUGAUGAAGGCCUGGAUGCUGACUGAUCAGUAGAGGCAGCUAACGUAACUCCCGGUGAGCUUCUCUUCUAGUUCAGGCUGUUUCUAACAAGACUUGGGCCUAGUGUGAUCCACAGGAAGAACGGAAGGAGGGCAGGGAAGGGCACUUACACGUAGAAAAAGGAACUCUGAGAAUUAGGCUGAGGAGGAAGAUUCAGCUUUCACAGUAUGCAUAUGGCCCACCCUCUGCCCCUUCUGAAUCAGCUGCCCCAAAGCAGACAACGAAUUUUGUUCUUGAGUGGUGUGGGGAAAGUAAGACCACCUCUCUCAACUAUGUACGCUAACUCUCUGAAACGAGAAUCCAGUUGGGGAAGAUGAGUAUGUGUGUUUUCUGAGCUAAAGUCUGCAGAUGAAACCUAUCUGAGGUGAUAAGUUGGGCCUUUGUAUUUUUAUCGUUUUAGAAAUCAGACAGUUCCAGUAGUCAGUGGAUUGCAUGUUCCCGGCUUCUUUAGAAUGUUAAGACACCUAAAGAAAAGUAUAAGGUAUAGUAAACAUUCCUAGACCACAGUAGACAUUUUUCCAGUAUGUUCUUCAACUGGACUAUCUGCCCGCCCGAGAGGAUUAUUUGCCGCAAAUUGCAUCCUCCUGACCUCAUGCCUGUGACAUUCCAUGAACCAUGUGCUCUUUCCCUGGGAUGUAUUAGUAGGAGAACUUACACUAUUUAAAUCACAUUAGUAACCUAAAGUCAUCUUAUGCUGCUGCCUCAGAGGCUACAUCACACACAAACAGGUGGAUACAAAAGAACGAAUGGGUCCUAAGACCCAGGCAGCUGAAAACUCCAUGCAUUGCAGUGAGUGUCUGACAUGUUUUGCUUGCCUCGUUGCUUUACGAGGAACAAGCACAGAUUGUUUUGCUUUUUUUAUAUUUAGUUUUUAAUCCUCCAGAAAACAGAACGUCCACAGUCUAAGUGCAGUAAAUCCUGAGCAACAUCAAAUUCAAAGGUACGGAAGAGAUUCUGUUCAUUCUGACAGCAACACAGAGGCUUGUAGCCAUGCUGUCUGGACCAGAACAGGCAGGUUCUAAUGGACACAUAUGCAAUCUGUCACGAAGCACAUGUUAAACAACACAAAAUAAACCAAAAACAAAACCAAUAUCCAAACCUCCAAAACCCAGAUACCAAGAAAUUUGGGGUCCUUUCCGAAGGCUAAUGUGAGAGUACCUCUAACAUUGGGCAUAACUUUGCAAAAGGAGAAAAAAAAAGUAGCAUCUUUUCACAUUAUGAUUUACACAGACUUUUAUCUAGACAAGUUAUUUAUUAUUAUUGUUUUUGUGUAUGUGUUUUAUAAGGUGUGUCAUGACACAUGUAUGUAUGGAUGUCAGAGGUCAACUCUGUGGCAUCCAGUCACCAGGUUUAUGGUAUAAAUACCUCAUCUACUGUGCUACCUCACUGAGCCUAGAUACAUUGGUUUUUGUUAGAAGUAUAUCCACCCCCCAAGUCAGCUACUAUAAUUUGAGAGAAUGACAAAAGAGAGAAACAUCCGUAAGACAUGGAGCUUUUAAAGGAGGGUUUUCCGUAAAGGUCUGUACACCCAAAUUUUUACCCUUCGUGUGAAAAUUCCUGCUAAUCAGACUGGAAAAGAAGGAGCGGAAAUGUUUAUGCUUCAGCCCAGAAAGUAGAUUUCUAUUUGUGGUUCCGACUUGUUUCGUGAAUGCUAGUGAUGGCUCAUGCAAAAAGAUGAAGAUGCAGUGAAGAGCAAACCCAAUGCCGCUCCUCUUCCUGACAAGCGUGUUUUCUGCAGCACAGACUUAAAUCCCAGGAUACUGAAUUUUAAUUUUGCUCUUCAGAUGAAGAGAGCCAGGAAUGUAAGUGAAUCCACGGCUUGACUUUUAAUUUUACCCAGGACCAUCAUCUGAUGCCAGCAUAUUCAACUGUUUUCUUGCUUAGUUUCCAAGGGUGAAAAGAAAAAAAAAAUUUUUUUUUUGCUAGUUUAGACCUGGUUUAUCAUUUAGUCUGAAUUUUAUAUUCAAACUACAAAAAAAUUUCCUUCAAAAGGAAAAUAUACACACACACACACACGCACGCACACACACACACAA